rnacentral:lncRNA from 1 species
CACAGUAGAACCCUACACAACAAGAAUCCUACACCCCUGCACAACAUAAAAAAACGGCGAAUUUGACCCCUCCAUUUUCUUCUUCUCCAAUCUGAUUUCUCUUCUCACUCCCUCAUUUCUCUAAUUUUACCCACAAUAACAGAAGCUUCCCCUUGAAAAGAGGACAUAUCCCCCUUUCCUUCAAAUGGGUUUGGACCGAGAAUAAAUUGACUCCGAAAAGGAGAAUCCUGAUUGUAUAAUAAAUCGUACCCCCAUUGUUUUAUUCGGCGAGUUGAGGUCAAAAUCCGGCGGCUGCUUUUCUUAAUCUUCUUCUCCAGCGAACUCAUUUGAGAAAUCGAGUUGAUGACUAAUAGGGAGAUCCGGCUGAAUACUUAUGGGUACCACAAAAAUUGAGGAAUCGGACUCGGGAUUUUAUUGGUUUCUUUAUUGCCUUCUCGCUGCUAUCUGUUGCUCGUUUACUGCUGAAGCUCCAUUUUAGACCAUUUCAAGCUUUUAUUUGGCUUUCCACAUUGAUCUUUCACUUUCAAUAGGUAUGUCCUGACUACUAAUGUAUCCAUAUUUUCUCUUUGAAUGCAAAAAAUAAUAAUAAUGUUUUCAUGGCUCGAUUUGUUGAAUGUUUGCGUAUUGAUAUGGCGAUAAACUGAUUUGCGGUUUGUAUUACUCGAGAUGAACUUAAAUUGAUUGUGAAACCAUGAUUUUGUCAAUAAGAAUUGAAAACUUUCUCUUGGGUGGAUUUUGUAAAAUGUCCUAAAUUAUUUUCUGAUUUUUUUUAUAGCUGUGACCGAAAUCUGGUGAACUUGCAUAACCAGCAAUUUAGCAUGUUUAUUCAUCUUAACCUUACAAGUGUGGAUGAUUAAGAUAUAUAUAUAUGUAUAUAUAUAACUCUUAUACUUUCGAUUGUGAGAACUAAGAACUAGCUUGAGGAGGAGUAAUAUUUAUAUUAUUUUUAGAUGGUUUAUUGAUACAUGCUUCAUGCCGAAAGAAUUUGGAACCAUUAAUUUUCAGCAUAAUAGCUCGUAAAUCUUUCGAAAAUUUGGUACUUGAUUAGUGCAGUACUCUAAUUGUUUACAAAAUGUGGUUGUAGAUUUGGGUCAGAAUCAUGUCAUAUGUGCUCAUCCACUUUCCAAAAGGUAAUUUGAGACCACAUUUAAAAGUACAUGAAUGAGCUUCGGUUUUGGCAGGGUGGGUGGUGUUUUAAGCAUAGAAAACAGAUUUGUGAUUGGUAUUAGAAUAUGGAUUACCAAUGUGUCUUGUAGCUUGGAAUCUUGCUUCUCUCAUUUUCUAAGUGUACUUUACAUAUGAGAAUUGUGAUUCAUUGUUUCUUUUUGUUGUAUUUUCUUUAAGAUUUUAGUUCCAGAAGUUAUGAUUUUUUAGAUUUUCUUUUCUUUAGUACAGAAAAGGUACUACUGUGAUAUCUUUUAAGGGAGUAUUAUUUUCUUGAAAAAUAUUAGUUGAAUACAAAUCUUUGCUUUAAAUAAUUUGAGGCUUGUCAUGCCAAAUAAAAUUCCUAAGCUCAUAGCUAUUAGAAAACUAGUUAGCUUUUAUUGAAAAGUUGAGGUGUGCCAUUUUUAUUAAAUAACACAUGGCCCUUAUGUAAUUAAUUUUAACUUUUUAGAAAUCGAGAUGCGCCAUUAGUUGAAUCUUCCAUUGCCCUCGUAAACUUGAAAGUGCGUAGUUUGCUUUAGGCUCAAUAUAGAUUAGUUUUGUGAUUAUAUAUAUGUUCGUGUAACAUAAUUGCAGAUUUAAUUCUAAAAAAGACUCCAGGGAUGCAUUCGCGUAAAUUAAACCAAACUUUCCUUAAUAAAAUAAACAAAGCGUUAUUAAUUAUGGACACAUUCGCGUGACAUAAUUUUUGAUGCGCCAAAAGAAAAGAGUAUACAUAUGCGUAACUCAAUUCUUUAAUUACGAAUAAAUCAAGUGAUUAAAAGCGGUUAAAAAGUAAAUGCACAUAGGUCUAAAAAAUAAGCAGUUGAACAAUAAGCCAAGUAUAAAUAGCUAAGCGACCGUGCUAAAACCAUGGAACCCGGGAAUGCCUAACACCUUCUCUUGGGUUAACAGAAUUCCUUAUCUAGAAUUUAUGGUUAGCAGACUUCAAAAGGAAAGCCAAAAUUUUCUCGAUUUGGGAUUUAAAAUUAAGCGAUGACUUGGGACACCAAUUAAAAUAUUCCAAGUGAUGACUCUAAAAAUUAAAUAAAUAAUCCCAUUUCAAAAAUGUCUCUUAAAUUGAAAAAACUCCCUUAUAUACCUUCAUGUGUGUAAAUAGAAGGUGUGACAGCUUUGGCGACUCCGCUAGGGAUAAGAACCCACAACUUUCGGUUCAGGGUUCUAGAAUUCGAACUUAUUAAUGUGAUUUUUAUUUGGUUUUAUUGUUAAUAUUACUGUAUUUUGUGGCUUAAUAUGGUGAUUAGCAUUCAUUUACCGUUUUGAUAUUACUUGAACUGUAUUUAAAUGUCUUCUUAUGCCACCCAUCUGAGUCUUCUGAAAAUGGUGCACACGUUCGCGUGGCCUGCUUUUUCUGUAGGAAUUAUACCAAACAAAAUGGGGCUGGACAAGCAACAAGACCGGAAAGACUUCCGUGCUCCCGGUACGUUGCCCUCUCCUCGACCCCAGUUGUUCGCUCGGGUAACUCAAGUCUAGUCCACAAGCCUCAAGUUUUAAACCUAGAAUAAUACAGCCUCAUGCCGGAUCCCUAGUAGGAAUGAUUAUUUGCAUUAUGUGGAUUUGACUUAGGGGACUCAACAUACCCCAAAAUAAAGACAAUCAUGAUGCAACCUACAUGCUGUGUGAAUAUUUAUCUGUUUCCGCUUGCAUGUUGACCAGCUAAGAAAAGAAAAUAAAGAGAAAAACCAAGAGUGAGGUACGAUAUAAAAUUUAUUCGGUUUCAAAAAUUCCCAGUAUUAGGAGAUAUCUCGAAACUUUGUCGAAUUUUGAAAAAAAGAAGAGAAAAGAAAAUGUAUUUCAAGAAGAGUGAGUCAAAUAUUAUUGUUUUUAUGAUAAGACUGACCGAACUAUGCUGGUCUGAUUCUCACCGAAUGUUAGAUAAUAGACAAACCUUAUCGGUUUUGGCUCCAAUUUUCAAACAAAUCCAAAAAUAUUCCUUUAGUCCUUUUUUUUAAAAUCUCUCUUUAGAAAAAUAAAAAAAGUAGUUUUAAACUCAAAAAAUAGUUUCCUUCUUUCUAAUGUCUUUCAUACGGGAAAAGAAAAAUCAAAAUUCAAAAUACGGGUUCCCUUCAUUUUGAAGUAACUCUGUCAAGAAAAAAAAAUCCAAAAAAAAAUCCUUAGAUGUUCUUUUUUUUCAUAAAUGUUAAUAAAAAAAAUUUGUAAAAAAUUGAAGUAAAAAAAAACAUAUUUUUGCUUUUCUUUCGAAGUACUUUUGUAAAUAAAUAAAAAGCUCAAAAAUUCAAAAUAUUUUUCUUAAAAGUACUUUUUUUUAAAAAUUAGGAGGCGAUAUCCAAAAUCCAAAAAUAUUUCCUUUUUUCUUUAGAAAAAGAGAAAUAAAAAAAAAUAAAAAAAAAGUAUAUUUGCUUUUACUUCUAACAUUCCCAAAGUUCAAAUCAAAAGCAAAUAAUUUUAUUUAAAGUCUUUCUUUCAAAAACAAAACAAAAAUCAAAAUAAAAAAUCAGAAAAAAAUUAAAUAUUUUCUUUAUUCUUUUAAAGUAUUUUUCUUUCAAAAAUCCCAAUAGAAAUACAAAAAAUAAUAAUUUUCUUUUGUUUUAAAGCUUUCAAGGUCUGAGUUUUACUAAAAGUAAAAAAAAAAUUAGCUUAUUUACUCUAUUAUCGAUCUUCCGAAACUGCGCAAGAUCUGAAUCAUGCGGGGUCUUGAUACGUAGGCAAUCCACAUCGGAUUUGAUCAUAGCUAUAAAUAAAUUGAGUGAAGAAUAAACUGGAAAAAAAAAGAGAGAAAAAAUUGAGUGAAAAAGGAAAAAAAAUAAAAGAAAAAAGAGAAGGCAAAAAUAAAAGAAAACAGGUACAUACUGAAAGGAUUAGCUAAGGCCGGGAUGAAACUUGCAACCGUUCAAACACAUGGUAGAAAUGUUUAACUGUUUAGGUGCAUUGCAUCCAAAUAUGCGAUUUUCUACCUGUUAAGCGUCUCAAAACUAACAAGGUUGUUACGUGUGCAAAAGCCAGGUUUUGGUGGUUGGUUUUGUUGGUAGUCUAGCCUCCCCUCCUUCACGAGAUCCAAAGACACAUAUGGCUUCGCAUGCAAUCUACCAAUCAUCGGUAGCCACUACCGUGACUAGAAAUACCUGGAUCUGCACAAAAGGUGUAGGGGGUAACGUGAGUACAUCAACUCAGUAGGUAACAAGUCCAAACAACGGACUGACAGGUAGUGAUGAACUAACCUCAAGAGGUGUAUAGAGUUUAACUGUCACUACAAAAAAAUGGGCAAAUAGCGGAGGUUAAAAUUUUAAUUUGCGGAGGUUAUAAACCUCCGUUAUUUACUGUCAAGGUGGUUGAGCACACCCCCACAGUAAGCAUCACUACUAUUAUUUGCGGCAAGAUAAAUGCGGGAGUUUUCCGAACUGCCGUGACAACAAUAGCGAAGGUUUCUAACCUCCACAAACUGCAAUUUUAACCUCCGCAAUUUCAUGUGCGAAAGUAGAUUAUUAUUUUGAAAAUUUAAUAUUUUUUCGAGUGUGGGGGUUGUAAACCCCGGAAAUUUCUUAUGGGUACACCCUAGGAUCCG